rfam:Dipodomys ordii contig_68370, whole genome shotgun sequence.
AAUGUGGCUUAAUGGUAGAGUGCUUGCCUAGCAUGCAAGAAGCCCUGGGUUCAAGUCCUCAGUAUU